rnacentral:rRNA from 1 species
AUUGGGCGUAAGCGCGCGCAGGCGGUUUCUUAAGUCUGAUGUGAAAGCCCACGGCUCUACCGUGGAGGGUCAUUGGAAACUGGGGAACUUGAGUGCACAAGAGAAAAGCGGAAUUCCACGUGUAGCGGUGAAAUGCGUAGAGAUGUGGAGGAACCCCUGGCGAAGGCGGGUUUUUCGUCUGUAACUGACCCUGAGGCGCGAAAGCAUGGGGAGGAAACAGGAUUAUAUACCCCGGUAGUCCCCCCCCUAAACGAUGAGUGCUAAGUGUUAUAGGGUUUCCCCCCUUUAGUGGUGCAGUUAACGCAUUAAACACUCCCCCCGGGGAGGACGGGCGCGGGACUGAAACUCAAAGGAAUUGACGGGGGGCCGCCCAAGCGGGGGAGGAGGUGGUUUAUUUCUAAGCAACGAGAAAAACCUUACCAGGUCUU